ACGCAUCUGGAGCUAAUUGGGGCAAUCAGGCCAGAGAUGAUUUAAGAUCUGCACUGUCAUCUCCUUCCUGCCAGUUCGUCAGCUGCCUGAUGACUUUUCUCCAGUGUCGAUUGCUGCUCACCACUUGGAUCUCGGUUCGUUUCCACUCACUGGGAAAAAUCUCCAAACCUCACCUGCUUGCCCUCCUGCUCACUCACCACUUUGGAUCCAACGAGGUCAGCUGUUUCACUUUUUCAAACUCUGAGGAAUUACAUCACCUCCCCCUCAAUACCACACCUCCACCUCCUGCAAUGUGACCAUUACUUACCUGCCCAGAUCCAGUUGUCCUUACGUUCAUGCCACUUUAAUAGUUUCACGGCUAUGCUUCCAUGCCACAGUUUGCCAUGUCCCUGUGUUUUCAACUGUAUUGUACAGUCACUAAUAAAUUGUGUUAAA